AGAACGAACGCUGGCGGCAGGCCUCAAACAUGCAAGUCUAGGGGGUGUAGCAAUACAUCACCGGCGGACGGGUGCGUAACACGUGGGAAUAUACCUUUGGUUCGGAACAACGCAGGGAAACUUGCGCUAAUACCGAAUGUGCCCUUACGGGGAAAGAUUUAUCGCCAAAGGAUUAGCCCGCGUAGGAUUAGCUAGUUGGUGAGGUAAUGGCUCACCAAGGCUCCGAUCCUUAGCUGUUCUGAGAGGAAGAUCAGCCACACUGGGGCUGAGACACGGCCCAGACUCCUACGGGAGGCAGCAGUUGGGAAUCUUGGACAAUGGGGGAAACCCUGAUCCAGCCAUGCCGCGUGAGUGAUGAAGGCCUUCGGGUUGUAAAACUCUUUCGACGGGGACGAUAAUGACGGUACCCGUAGAAGAAGCUCGGCUAACUUCGCGCCAGCAGCCGC
rnacentral:rRNA from 1 species